GACGAACGCUGGCGGCGUGCUUAACACAUGCAAGUCGAACGGAAAGGCCUCUUCGGAGGUACUCGAGUGGCGAACGGGUGAGUAACACGUGGGUGAUCUGCCCUGCACUCUGGGAUAAGCCUGGGAAACUGGGUCUAAUACCGGAUAGGACCAUGCUUUAGUGUGUGUGGUGGAAAGUUUUUUCGGUGUAGGAUGAGCCCGCGGCCUAUCAGCUUGUUGGUGGGGUAAUGGCCUACCAAGGCGGCGACGGGUAGCCGGACUGAGAGGUUGGUCGGCCACAUUGGGACUGAGAUACGGCCCAGACUCCUACGGGAGGCAGCAGUAGGGAAUCUUCCACAAUGGGUGCAAACCUGAUGGAGCAAUGCCGCGUGAGUGAAGAAGGUCUUCGGAUCGUAAAACUCUGUUGUUAGAGAAGAACACGUGCUAGGUAACUACUAGCGCCUUGACGGUAUCUAACCAGAAAGUCACGGCUAACUACGUGCCAGCAGCCGCGGUAAUACGUAGGUGACAAGCGUUGUCCGGAUUUAUUGGGCGUAAAGGGAGCGCAGGCGGUCUGUUUAGUCUAAUGUGAAAGCCCACGGCUUAGCCGUGGAACGGCAUUGGAAACUGACAGACUUGAAUGUAGAAGAGGAAAAUGGAAUUCCGAGUGUAGCGGUGGAAUGCGUAGAUAUUUGGAGGAACACCAGUGGCGAAGGCGAUUUUCUGGUCUAACAUUGACGCUGAGGCUCGAAAGCGUGGGGAGCGAACAGGAUUAGAUACCCUGGUAGUCCACGCCGUAAACGAUGAGUGCUAAGUGUUGGGGGCUUUCCGGCCCUCGGUGCUGGAGCUAACGUAUUAAGCACUCCGCCUGGGGAUUACGACCGCAAGGUUGAAACUCAAAAGAAUUGACGGGGACCCGCACAAGCGGUGGAGCAUGUGGUCUAAUUCGAAGCAACGCGAAGAACCUUACCAGCUCUUGACAUCUUCUGACAACUCUAGAGAUAGAGCGUUCCCUUCGGGGACAGAAUGACAGGUGGUGCAUGGUUGUCGUCAGCUCGUGUCGUGAGAUGUUGGGUUAAGUCCCGUAACGAGCGCAACCCUUGUUGUUAGUUGCCAGCAUUAAGUUGGGCACUUUAACGAGACUGCCGGUGAUAAACCGGAGGAAGGCGGGGAUGACGUCAAAUCAUCAUGCCCCUUAUGAGCUGGGCUACACACGUGCUACAAUGGAUGGUACAACGAGCAGCGAUCCCGCAAGGGCUAGCUAAUCUUUCAAAGCCAUUCUCAGUUCGGAUUGCACUCUGCAACUCGAGUGCAUGAAGUCGGAAUCGCUAGUAAUCGCGAAUCAGAAUGUCGCGGUGAAUCCGUUCCCGGGUCU
rnacentral:rRNA from 1 species